AUGAGGCUCUUCUGCUUGCUCGCGCUGCUGUUGCUACGGAUGGCAACCAUGCGAGCAUCCGCUGGCGUGCAAGGAAGCCAAGCCGGGAACAGGAGUACUCUUGCCUCCCAGGCCGGAUGCCAGAAAAGUUGUGGCAACCUAAGUUUCGAUUACCCGUUCGGCAUAGGGCCGGGCUGCUUCCGGCCGCCACAGCGAGACUUUGAGGUCAUCUGCAACAACACCCACAGUGCCUCCCCCAGGCUCUUCCUGCACGACGGAAUCACCGAGCCGUCGGUGAUAUCAUCACUGGCGAUGGCGAUGGCAGACCAGGUAUUGAUGUAUCGUUUUCCCAAUCCGUCUCGGUGAGACCUGAGGUCGAUGCAUACAAUAUGUCCUGGAAUCCUGGGAGAUCACCCACUAGCUAUUCUUUAUACUUAAACUUCACUGGUUGCUACUUCGACAUGUAUGUGCUCGAGCACAACACCAACAAUACCGUGGGUCAGUGCAGGACUACAUGCGUUGAUGAAGAUAUCACAGAUACAGUGGCCAGGCAAAAAUGCAAUGGUAAAGGAUGUUGCACCGCUUACGAUAUCUCUGGGUUUGGUGCCGGCUUCGAUAUGGUAUGUGUCCGCAACAAGAUUAGGAAGCCGAAGUUCAAAGCGCACAGUAACCGAAGCUCCAUAUGAGAUACAAUUGAUGUAACAACUGAUCAUGCUUCUAUUUACUGGGCUAUCGCCGUUGAUGAACCUCGCACAGAUUAUGCAUGUCUCAGCAACCAUAGCUUCAGGAGGCAAUUCGGUUCAUCUAACGUUGCUUAUUAUUGUGUGUGCGACAGUGGUUACAGAGGCAAUCCAUACCUCCUAACAGAUGGCUGCUCGCGUGACAAAGGGUACGAUCCGAUACAAAGGAAGACCAACUGCUCUAGAUGGUGUGGGGAAAUCAAUGUCCCUUUCCCGUUUGGCCUAGAGGCCGGUUGUUCUGCAAGGAUGUCAUUUCAGCUCAAUUGUACAAAUUCGUUGAUGUCUGCCCUCCAGUUUCCUGACGAGUAUGGUACAAAAUACUCCAGCACUUAUGUAAAUUAUAUAGAUAUCUCAGAGGGGCUAGUGAAUGUUAAAUACAGCUUAUAUGAUGAAGACCACCUUUCGGUGCGUGUACCUAAAGAUCCAGGCCUCUAUGUUGCCUCUGGGGGUGUAGUACUGCAGCAGUGGGCCGUAGCCAAUUUAACAUGCCAUGAGGCACAGGAGAAUAGGACCGGAUAUGCAUGUGUCAGCAUGAAUAGCAUAUGCUUGGGUGUCAACCCCCAACAAGAAUAUGUCGGUUACCGUUGCAAAUGUCUGGCUGGCUUUGACGGGAAUCCAUAUAUCGCGGAUGGGUGCAAAGAUGUUGAUGAGUGCAAGACACCAGGUGCAUGUAAUGGAAUUUGUCACAACACCGAAGGAAGUCACUAUUGCACCCAAUGCCCUAGUAAUACAGUCUAUGAUACUACAAUAAAGAUGUGCGCAUCGACCAAAAAACAAAAUCUGGUACUAGGUAUCGCAAUUGGGAUCAGCGCUGGUUUUGGAAUUCUACUUCUCAUGUCAAUUGUAAUAUUACUGAUCCAUAGAUGGAAGAAAGAUAUCAAGAAGAAACUACGAAGAAAGUAUUUUCUGCAAAACCAAGGUCAACUCCUCGAACAACUGAUAUCGUCAGAUGAAAAUGCGAGUGACAAUACAAAGAUUUUCUCACUAUCAGAGUUAGAAAAGGCAACAAAUAACUUUGAUGCUACACGUAUCGUUGGUCGAGGAGGGCAUGCAUUGGUUUAUAAAGGCAUCUUAUCCGACCAACGGGUAGUGGCCAUAAAGAAGUCUAAAGUCACUGAGCAAGUUGAGAUAAGUCAAUUCAUCAAUGAGGUUGCUGUCCUCUCAAAGAUUAAUCACCGGAAUAUCGUCAAGCUCUUCGGUUGUUGUCUCGAGACUGAAGUCCCACCGCUAGUAUAUGACUUCAUCCCAAAUGGUUCAUUAUUUGGAAUCCUUCAUGCCAGUACCACUAGCAACUCUGCCUUGUCCUGGGAUGAUUGUUUGAAAAUUGCUUCAGAAGCUGCUGGAGCACUCUAUUACCUCCACUCAGCUGCUUCAGUAUCGAUAUUUCAUCGUGAUAUGAAGUCCACUAACAUACUGUUGGAUGGAAAUUACACAGCGAAAGUAUCAGAUUUUGGUGCUUCAAGGUUGGUUCCUAUUGACCAAACUCAUAUCGUUACAAAUAUACAAGGCACAUUUGGAUACUUGGAUCCAGAGUAUUAUCACACGGGUAUGUUAAAUGAGAAGAGUGAUGUCUAUAGUUUUGGUGUAGUACUUAUAGAGUUGCUGCUCAGAAAGAAGCCUAUUUUUACAAGUGAUACUGGGCUAAAUCAAAACUUGUCCAGCUAUUUCCUUUGUGAGACGAGGGAGAAACCACUCGCAGAAAUAGUGGCUACUCAAGUUCUUGAGGAAGCAACAAAUGAAGAGAUUAAUGAUGUGGCCAGUCUUGCAGAGACUUGCUUGAGAUUACGAGGUGACGAGAGACCUACAAUGAAACAAGUAGAGAUGACAUUGCAGUAUGUCCGGUCCAAAAGAUUGAGAUCAUGUCAGAUUGGUAUAAUAAAUGAAGACAUGCAACCCUUGUUAAGUGGAGAAAGCCCGGACAUGCUUCUGCUGUUGACUGCUCAAAGUGGUAUAGUAGACAGAUCUAAUUUACCUUCUCAAAGGAACCAAAAUUGCUACAGCUUGGAACAAGAGUUCGUGGCAGCGGCUACUCUCCCGCACUAG
rnacentral:rRNA from 1 species